ensembl:processed_transcript Gm13587 predicted gene 13587
ACACCCCCGGGGGGGGGGUUGCCCUUUCAGUGGGACCCAGAGGCCCUGGACGUCACGCCCUCACUGUUGCCCACUGUGCUUGUGUGCCUGCUCUGUCCUGGGCAUCCAGAUGGACCAGACCACACCCACAUCCCUGCAGGGCAUCCAGAUGGACCAGACCAUACCCACAUCCCUGCAGGGCACCCAGAUGGACCAGACCACACCCACAUCCCUGCAGGGCACCCAGAUGGACCAGACCACACCCACAUCCCUGCAGGUGAAGUGAGGCGGCUCCCUGGGAGAGGCCUCGCUGAAGUCAUGGUCAUCCACACCUGGCUCACCUCAAGAGUCUUCCAGCAUACCCUGGGGGCAAGGCCACUAAUGG